AUGGGAACCGCGGGAAAUGUUCCUAGUCCAACCAGGACUGAGCUAGGAGCUGGGGCUGUUGACGGAGCUGUGCAAGGAGAAGAAGGAGAGGAUGAGGCUGGUUCUCAACCUAUGAAAUCCUAUGUUGGCAUGCGGUUUAACAGCCUUCAAAAUGCUAAGGAUCACAACAACAGCUACGCCCUACGGAUGGGUUUUUCUGUCAAGAUGAACACCUCUAGGCGGACACCUCACACCAAUGUAUUGGUAAAACAGCAGUUUUGCUGCAACAAGUUCAAGAAGCCCAAAGCUGAUGAUGGAGGAGUUGAGGCUCCUCCUGUCCUGGACCCUAUUCCAGAUACAAAACCUGUUGACAGUGAUGAGGAAAUGUAA
rnacentral:rRNA from 1 species